AGCGAACAUUGGCGGUAGGCUUAACACAUGCAAGUCGAGCGAGGCGUAACAGUCGAGCGGCGAACGGGUGAGUAAUACAUGGAAAUCUACCCUGAAGUGGGGGAUAACGUCCAGAAAUGGACGCUAAUACCGCAUAAUCCAUAUUGGGAAAGCGUUGCAGCGCUUUAGGAUGAGUCCAUGGCUGAUUAGCUAGUUGGUGAGGUAAUGGCUCACCAAGGCGACGAUCAGUAGCUGGUCUGAGAGGAUGACCAGCCACACUGGAACUGAGACACGGUCCAGACUCCUACGGGAGGCAGCAGUGGGGAAUCUUGCGCAAUGGGGGCAACCCUGACGCAGCCAUACCGCGUGAGUGAUGAAGGUCUUCGGAUUGUAAAGCUCUUUCGGCGGGGACGACGAUGACGGUACCCGCAAAAGAAGUCACGGCUAACUUCGUGCCAGCAGCCGCCGUAAAAC
rnacentral:rRNA from 1 species